AAUCUUCCGCAAUGGACGAAAGUCUGACGGAGCGACGCCGCGUGAGUGAUGAAGGUCUUCGGAUCGUAAAACUCUGUUGUUAGGGUAGAAUAAGUAUCGACCGAAUAAGUCGGUGCCUUGACGGUACCUAACCAGAAAGCCCCGGCUAACUUCGUGCCAGCAGCCGCGGUAAUACGUAGGGGGCAAGCUUUGGCCGGAAUUAUUGGGCGUAAAGGGCGCGCAGGCGGUGUUUUAAGUCUGAUGGGAAAUCACGUAGCUUAACUACGAGCGGGCAUUGGAAACUGGAAGACUUGAGGACAGCAGAGGAGAGUGGAAUUCCACGUGUAGCGGUGAAAUGCGUAGAGAUGUGGAGGAACACCAGUGGCGAAGGAGACUCUCUGGUCUGUAUCUGACGCUGAGGCGCGAGGGCGUGGGGAGCGAACA
rnacentral:rRNA from 1 species